rnacentral:rRNA from 1 species
UACGGAGGGGGCUAGCGUUGUUCGGAAUUACUGGGCGUAAAGCGCACGUAGGCGGAUCGGAAAGUCAGAGGUGAAAUCCCAGGGCUCAACCUUGGAACUGCCUUUGAAACUCCUGGUCUUGAGGUCGAGAGAGGUGAGUGGAAUUCCGAGUGUAGAGGUGAAAUUCGUAGAUAUUCGGAGGAACACCAGUGGCGAAGGCGGCUCACUGGCUCGAUACUGACGCUGAGGUGCGAAAGCGUGGGGAGCAAGCAGG